UACGAGGGGGGCAAGCGUUGUCCGGAAUUAUUGGGCGUAAAGCGCGCGCAGGCGGUUCUUUAAGUCUGAUGUGAAAGCCCACGGCUCAACCGUGGAGGGUCAUUGGAAACUGGAGAACUUGAGUACAGAAGAGGAAAGUGGAAUUCCACGUGUAGCGGUGAAAUGCGUAGAGAUGUGGAGGAACACCAGUGGCGAAGGCGACUUUCUGGUCUGUAACUGACGCUGAGGCGCGAAAGCGUGGGGAGCAAACAGG
rnacentral:rRNA from 1 species